CAGGUCUUGAUCUCACCAUUCUUGAGUUCAAGUUCCACAUCAGGGCUGCUGACAAAUUGGACAACAAACGGGUGGACAGAAUAGAAGACGAAAAGUUUCCCUGGGGCCGAAGCCCAUUAUUGUGACUCAUCUUUUCAAUGAUGAUUGGAUUUCAUCACAAAGUAGUUUUAUUUUUUUUUUUUUCAGGACUUCUCUUGAGCCCAUCUAUAAAAUGGAAACGCUAAUAGUUCCUCCUCGCAGGGCUGCAGUGGAAAUGAAUUAAAUCAAUUCACACAAGGUGUUUAGAACAGUGUAGUGUGUAGUUUAGCAUCCCCGAGCCUGGGCUUUUCGGGGGUACCCUUAUACUAGUCUUUCGAAAGGCUGUGUUUUAACCAGCUAGUGAGGGGUUACUCCAGCAGGACCACUGUUGCAGGUUGGGGCCCCCAGGAAGCAGAGUCUGAUGCGGUUUAGCUUGCAAGGAGCUUAUUAGGGAGAGCCCUAAAGGUCAGCAGCUGUGGAAGGGAAGGGCCGGAGCAGAUGUGAGCAGAGAAAGCUACAGAGCAGACCCAAUCAGAGCCUUGGCCAGCCCCAUGGGGAGCUCUGGUGGCAGCUGACCUUGGGCAAGGCAGCUCUUUGCUGCUGAGCAGUCCCUCUGGGAGCUGGCAGGGGACGGCUGUCUGCAGGGCCAGCGGCCCCAGUAGCCAGGACAAUUCAUGCAAGGGGGUCUGGGCAGCAUGUCACGGAGGCCACCACAAGCACAGGUGGGGACACGGUGAGGCCAAUGUCGUAAGAGCUAUGACAGCAAGAGCCUCCUUAAAUUUGUGCUCUGGGUGUCUCGUUUGCCUCUCCUUCAUCCCAGGCCUGAUUAGUACCUGCCCUGUAAGAGGCAAAAAAAAAAAAAAAAAAAAAAAAAUCUUUGCACAGAAUAGCAACCUUACAGGGUUGAUGUGAUGAGACCGCAUGAAGUACCUGGGACAUGGCAGAAAUAAUUGAGAGCCGCUGUCCCCAUCCUCAUCAUCACUGUGCCAGCUCAGCUAAGUGUUCAACAGUCAUUGAUGAAUAAAUUAAAUGAACAGUC